rnacentral:lncRNA from 12 species
AUACCACCGGAAAUGGCAUCUUCACCCCAGCCGCUGGCUCACAAACCCAGCAGCACCCAGACCUGAGCUUAUCUGCCGAGCAGCGCGGGGCCCUGGGCUCUCCACCCCGGCCUCUCUGAUCUCCGGCCGAGAAAGGACCCUGUCUGGGGAAGAGACCUAGAGUCCACCGAGAGGUACACGUUUUAAUCACCAGGUAUUUUAAUGAUCUGAUCCGCUCUCCUGUUCCAUCCCAGAAGAACAAUGAGAGAUUCCCAGGGAGACGUUCUUGCCUAGUGUGGACUCUGAGCUCUUGGAGCAGCAUCUGGGUUGUUGUCCAAAAAGCUGGGAAGUCCAGCUCUGGAGUUUCCUUAUAAUUCUAAUAUCUAAGGACAGAAGCUGACACCUGUGUACAGGAGGGAUACAACUGCCUCCUCUGCCCAGCAAGUAGCCCACAGAGAGGUCUGCACGUCACUGAGGUCAAGAACACAGGCUUGCGGAUGCCCGUACCUCCAGAACUGGAAGUUAUGGUAUCACAAAGAUACCUGCUUAUCCUGGAGACAAACAUUCCUUUUUCUUUUUUUAAGAAUGCCCUGUCUUACAGAUGUACAAGCCAAGCGUGUCAUCGGCCAUUUGAUGUCAUAACUUGUUUAGUUUCAUUCUUAGUUUCUUUCUUUCUAGAAAGAUAUUCAACUUCGGCAGGAAAAAAAUGUUUUUCAUUCUUUUCUGGUAGCUGGAUCCCAAACAAGAUGAAAAAUUACACUGCUGGCCCCAAACCUCCUACAGUUGCUCAUGGGCCUCCAUUCCUCUUUUGCUCAGAUCCUCUGCAUGAAUACAGGCAUGUCUCUGGUACAGCUCUCUACUUUUACUAUCAAUCUCCUCAAUUGAGAAAUAAACUCCCCCAUACUCACCCAUGCCUCCACCUCCAAUUUGUAGACAAGAGCUCUUCUGGCUCUAAAAGAUAG